AGGAAAAUGUGAAGUUUUGAUCAUGGUACAGGAUGAAAAACGUAUACUUAAUUAAAAUAAGCAAACACAUGGGGAAUUGGUUGUGUAAGUCAGUGUGUUUGAACUUAUUUCCUUUGUGUCAGUAUGAUGUUCAUGUUGUGAAACAAACCGGGUGUGUCUAGCUCUUUUAUUUUUUUAAAGAUCAAAUUCCUAAGGAUCUGAGAUCGGGUGUAGUGUAUUCUUUUCAGUGUCGAUAUGCUGUGUCGCGUCGUAUGUGACCAAGCGGUCCGUCAUUUACACCGGCACCCGAGUAUAGGAACACUAUUAUAUGUGUUUCUCUUCGUUAUUUAACAACUUCAAUUUGGCAGAUAAAAAACUGUAAACAAUAUUUGCAUAACUCAAACGAACAAUUACAUUGUACAAGAGGAUGAGGAAAGUGCCAAAAGUGGCGAAACACAAACGAGACUAUGCAAGGUGCUCACCACUAGACAAGAAACAAAGACAAGAAACAAAGACAAGAAACAAAGAGGCAAGAAACAAGGACAGCAAGAAACACGACAAGGCAGAUUAAAUGAAAAGAUUUAGAGAAUGAAAAGGUAGAGAGAAUGAAAGGACAAAGAGAGAAAUGUUAGAAUGAAAGACCUGGAGGAUAUUGUUAUUGAGUCGUGAUAAGUGAGUGUGAGCUAGGUACGUCAGGAGUGUAGGAAGUAAUAGUCAUGAGAUGUAAGUCUUGCGCAGUAUAACUCUCGAGUAGUAAUCUCACACUUACGCAU